GAAGCGCUGUUCACUCUCUUCUCCACCUUAGAUCCGCGUCCAAACUCGCCAAAUCUCAGGCGAGUGAGCCAAAAUCACUCACACGCACCUUAUCUCACCACGUCAGCAAGAUUCUAACGGCUUCUGACAUUUUCCUUCUCUCGCUGGAUUCGUUUUGGAAUUUCUGAAGAAUGAAUUCCGAAAAUGGGAGCCGUGGAUUGAUUUGAGGAUCAAUCCUCUCCUUCCAUCUGUCAGGGUUCAUUCUAGAAGAGAUUUACUUCCGGAUUUCUUGUGAAAAAUGAAAAAUUCGAGAGAGGGGGCUAUAUAUACCAGGUCUGAUUUGAGGCGAGGGGAGGAUUUUUUUUGGAGGCAGAGGUCACUUGAGAAAAUUAGGGUUCUAGAAAAAGCUUCUCUUCUUCUCUUUUGUUCAUCUGCAUUUUUUUUGUUUAAUUCCAGUCACAAUAGAAAAAUAUAUACAAAAAAAAAAAAUGUUUCGUUUGAUAUUAGCAACUCUGUUCUCUUCACCUUUUAAUUCAGAAAUUUCAUCUUUAUUAUGAGUUUGACUGAGGUUCGAGAUUAGGUGUUAGUCGCCGAUUGGAGAUUCUGUCCGAGCUUGUUGUUUUGGUUCGAGUUUCUGUUCUAGCUGUGGUAUCGAUUUUGUUCGUGUAUUUGCUGAAUAUUUUUGAGGAAUUGAAACUCCAAUCUUCAGGUGCAGUUCUUUCUUUCUUCUCAUGUCUCUCUGUAUGUGUGGAUCCAAGUAUGGUUGAAUCUUAAGAUAUGGAGAUUAAAAUUACAUGUCAUACCUAAGUAAAUGUCAGUAAUUGCAGGCUCGAGUUGUUGUCAUUUUCUGCAUUUUUGUUUAUUUCCUUUAUAAAUCAGUGUGUUUGAGUUCAUCAUGUGUUUGGAACAUCCUGCAAGGUCGGAUUUGCUUUAUCUUGGUGUGAAUGAUUGAGGUUUGAAUCGAGUAUGUGGUUGUUAGAUGAGGUGCAGUGUCUGUUUGUCAAUUCAGUGGCAUUUACAGAACUUCUCACACGUCUCGAAUGCAAUACGAGUUUAUGAAAUUAGUGACCAUUCAUUUUUCUGCUGUUGUGUUGCUUAGUCAGGGGUGUUUAUCAGGACUUGCUACGAAUGUUGGAAGAUAAGCGAUUCAAUGCUUGUUUUAAAGCAGUAGUUGGUCUAAAUUUCGGCUGUCCAGGUGGAAUUGAUUUAAAUUUCAGCAAUAGCUUGUUAAAGUUUGGUUUACUUUGUCAUGUUUGGCAUGUAUUUCGUUCGGCGUCGAUCUCAGCUAGCUUAAGUUCGUGGUUGGCUAAAUCCACUCGUUAGGAGAAAUCACAAGUCCUGCCAUCAUAUUUUUUGCAUAAAUGCUUAUAAUUCUCCAUUGUGAAUCAUGAAUAGAAUAAGUUAUCGUCUCUUCUUCUCCUUCUGAUUUUUCUCACUUCUCUUUUUGAUACUUUGAGAAGCAGCAUUCUUAUUGGACUUGGAUAACUAACAACCUUGCUUUGGAUCUCGAUGUUAGUUGGAUUUAAUAAAG
rnacentral:lncRNA from 1 species